GGUUGCGACCACAUCUAGCAGAAAGGACCGUUUCCCAUCCGAUCAACUGUAGUUAAAUUGCGAAUGGCUCAACAGAGUAGCAUGAUGGGAGACCAUAUGCGAAACCUGGGUGUUGCAAUCU
rnacentral:rRNA from 1 species